GGCGCAUCUACCCUUGUUCCGGUCAUCAUCGACGCUCGUGGCUAUUUCUCCUCCUCCUCCUCCUCCUCCUGCGCUUUUCCAUUCUUCUCCAUCCAGUAAUCUUCUUAUUUUCCUUCUCUAGCUUUUUUCUAGCUUCAUCUCUCCUGUAUCAGCUUUUCGUCGCACGACUUCCUGGAAGCCUCGAGAAGAAGUUCCACAAUGGAUAUUUCCUUGGAAGAUGGGAUAAGGUUAUGUUCUCUUAUGUGGAAGAAAGAAGUUCUACUCACUAAGAAAAGGAGGUUACUUAUGGGAUCAGAAACAACAACUUCAACAGAGGGGAGUAGAAAGAAGUUGAAAAACCUGAUUUCUACAGGCUUGUAAGUGCACAGUACGAUGCCUCUUUCCUUCUUUCCUCUCCUCUAUUUUCUCUUCCUACGUACCUUUCUAUCCUUCCAUGUUAACAGUUGAGUGGCUAACUAUUUAACCAGGUUUUUGCAUUUUUUAUGAAUUCAGACAUCCACUUUUAGACUCUUCUAGAGGCAUAUUUGGGGGCAACACUAGGGAUCUUAAGGUAUCUCAUGGAUAGUGGCAUAGUAUAAUUUUGGUCAUAUGUAUGUUGUAGAUAUUCAGGUGUAGCUUAUACAUGAUCACUUGCUGAUAAAUGAUGAUCCAUAUGACUAUUGUGUGUUUUCUGUGGUGUUACCCAGUCAAGUGGAGAGGUAGAGUUACAUAGAUACAUGGGAAUUAAUUUUGAAUCAGUAUUAUACUCAUCACCUCCGUUGAUCAACUAUUUGACGCUCUCACUAAAAUCAUGUAAGUUACUGGAAUUUUGUCCAUUUGUAAUGAUGUUACAGAACAUAAUAUCAUCUAUCUUGAAGGUGUGAAAUUAUGCAUAUAUCAGUAGGUGUAUAAGCAGGGACCUAGAUGAAAAUAAAUUGAGUAAUGCCCUUGUCUUUCUAUUUUAAUUCACAUUUUAAACGAAAAUAAACCUAUGAAGUUUUGGAUUCUAUCUUCAAAAAUCCUUGAAGGUACAGCUGUAAGCAGGCAAUGAGAAGUUAUGGUUUUACUACUUUUAAUGUCCUUAAUUCAUGUUUAUUGUGCUAUUUAGCUAGCUAAGGCUUCUCCAAUUCAGAUGCAAUUUGAUGAAAGAUAAUAAAGUUCAUGUCAUUGAGCUUUGCCGUGCAUGAGAAAUCGCAUAGCUGAUGGGUCCUGAUAAGUGAUAACUUUCCUUUUUACAAACUUUUGUCUUUUUUUGCAAAUUGCACAAAAUCAUUAUGUUUACACGAAUGGAUAUACAUUACAAAAACUAAAGGAAUACCCUAGUCUAGAAACCUAGCGCCCAUUAAAUUGAAACCAAGUGAGCAGGGCAAAGAAUCACUUAUUUCACAUGUGCCACUCAAUGCUAACUGUGUAUCUCCUAUAGUGGGGCAUACAUAUUGUUGGUGUGUCAGCCUCCGUGGUUUUGAUGCUUGACAAUAUACAUGUGUUUGGUCCAGUUUGACCAAAGCAAAUCAAGGUGAUUGGAUGGUUGGCAAGGGAAAGUUUAGACAGGUCAAGGAUGGUCGAAUGUCUAGCAAGUGGCAAGUUUGAGUAGGUAGAAGUCUUGGAGGAGUGAACUCCGAGCAAGAGGUAAAACAGAGAGUAGACAAAUGCAACCGGACAAAGCUGAACCACUUCGAACUGGAUUUGACUUGGGUCGAACCGAACCCAAAGUGGUCGAGUCGUGGUCUCGGGCUCGAAAUCAUCGGGCCGGGUACCUGUUGAUCCAACUCCGAGUUAGAAACCGUAAUCGGUCCGACCCCCGGUUCUAGAUCAUAAAAAUCAUUGGUUUGGCCUGUCGAUUCAAUUUUUUUUAUACGAAUGAAAAUUUAUUUAAAACUUUGAUAUUGCCAAGACUUAAACCUUGGUCUCUUGAGAGAGAGUCUAGUAUCCUAACCAAGCAAUAACAUAUUGACAUUUUUAUAUGUUAGUUAAUUAUUUAAUAACUAAUUAAUAAUUUCCUUUUACUAUAUCAUUAGUCUUAAUAAUUGAAAAAAAGGAAGAAAGCAAAAAAAUAAUUUCUUUUUUAAUGUUUGUUUAUAUUAGUGUGAUUUAAAAGCGGGAAUGAAUGAGUAAAAGUAAUUCCGAUCGUUAGACGGUUCUUAUCGAUGGUUGUGAUCGUUGGGGGAGAGGAGAAUUUUUAUUUUUUUUAAACGGUUCUUACUAAUAGCGAUUCAAGAUACUCUUAUAAAAUCAUAAGGGAUACAUAGGCAACUUAAAUAAGUGCGUUUUUUUUAUGAAUUUACAAUUUAAAUUUUUUUAAUAUAAUAAUCUUGAACUGUGGCAAACCAUGACAAAUCAUGAAUUGACAGUUCUGAGCCGUAACCGUCUUGGACAGUUAAAAUUAAGGGUCAACCUAGGAAUCGUUGAAUCGUCGGUUUUGAAUUGUCAAACCGUUGGUUCUGAACCAUCGAACUGUUAGUUCUGAACCAUGGUGGAGUCUAGUCUGGUUUGGUCGAUUGGAAAACCGAUUCAGUCGAUCGGAAAACCAAUCUGGUCAAUUGGAUGGGUUUGGCUGACUGGGUGUGGGUUUGAAUCCGGUUCGGCGAUGUGACUUGGUUUAGUGGAUCGAAAAGGUUCUGGUUGAGUAAUAAACCUGUUAACGAUGAGAUCCCGUGGCUUGGUCCAGAUCGCAAUGAACUCAAUCGUGAGGAUCAAGUUUGAUCAGGUCUGGUCAACCAAAUGAGGUUUAUAGGCCCUUCGAUCAAGGCCUAUAAAAGAGCCUCGAGAUCAAUUCUUCGACUCUGUGCUCAAAGAAAAGACAAGGCUAUGCUCGUCGAUCGAGGAAGCGCCAGGAGGAGUACGAGGCGCUCAGGGCUUCAGGAUCGGCCGUCGACAAUGUAGGAGGUUUCUCCGCCUUCGGAAAAGUUACGGAAAGGAGAUACGCUAGUGGACAAACGCCUCCUCCUCCUCUUGUAUAUAGGCAUUGGAGUACCAACCCUGGGGUUGGGAACCAAGUAAAACCUCGAUGUUGUCUUUGUGCAUAUACUUUUGUUUUGAUCUAUAUAGAGUGUAAACUUUGAUAAUAAGUAAAAGGGUGACUCAACUACCAAGAAUUCAUCCUCAUUUUAUUCUUCAUCUCUCUCUAUCCUUUUUUCUUUGGUCCACUUAAUUCAUCAUGGUUAGGGCUGAAUAUUCAGUUAAAACCGAAUUAGCCGAAAGUGAACAAACCGAUUUUUUUUGAAUUAACCGAACCGAUAAAAUGUUAGUCAAUUCGGUUUUCAUUAAUUGAACUUCCGAAUAAUGAGAAGAUCUUAAACCCAGAUGUUUGUGAUUAACUUACAUACGAUGAGAAGAGGAUGAAAUUGAGCAUACAAGAAAAUGCUAACCAAGUAAAAUUCUCAUUCCAAAAUAUCAAAAUUUCAGUUUUGAUCAAAACAAGGAGGCGGGCACAAAACAUUUUUUUCUCUAAGAAAAUAUAUGAAUAAGAACAAAGACAUUGAUCAAGCAAGCACAAAUAAUUUCUUCUGACCAAAUAAUAACGUGAGGGGAGGGGAGAAUGAGAUUAGGGUUUGGGAAGAUGGAAGGAAGAGAAGUGGACAUGACAACACCUAAUCUGGCGCUGCCCUACCAGGAGGAUUCUUGGGUCGAGGGGGAGACGUCAGUGUUGGUCAACUGCCUGGGGCAGAAGUAUUGAGGGCGGCUAGAGAAAUGGAGAGGAGGGGAGUCGGGAGAGGAGAAGCAUUGGUGUCGUUGACGCCGUCAACUCCAUGCUGUAGGAGGGGAGGGUGGCUUCGACUUCGAAAGGCGAGAGCGACAGAGGUUGUCGGCAAGAGCGAUGGAGAGGAGGGGAGGGCGGUGAGAGCGACGGAGAGGAGGGGAGUCGGGAGAGGAGAU